rnacentral:rRNA from 1 species
GGGGGGGGGGGGGGGGGGGGCGGGGGGGGGGGGGGGGGGGGGGCGGGCGGGGAGCUGGCUGCUCUGACGUGAGCGGCGGGCGGGUGAGUAACACGUGGAUAACCUACCUAUAAGACUGGGAUAACUUCGGGAAACCGGAGCUGAUACCGGAUAAUAUAUUGAACCGCAUGGUUCAAUAGUGAAAGACGGUUUUGCUGUCACUUAUAGAUGGAUCCGCGCCGCAUUAGCUAGUUGGUAAGGUAACGGCUUACCAAGGCAACGAUGCGUAGCCGACCUGAGAGGGUGAUCGGCCACACUGGAACUGAGACACGGUCCAGACUCCUACGGGAGGCAGCAGUAGGGAAUCUUCCGCAAUGGGCGAAAGCCUGACGGAGCAACGCCGCGUGAGUGAUGAAGGUCUUCGGAUCGUAAAACUCUGUUAUUAGGGAAGAACAAAUGUGUAAGUAACUAUGCACGUCUUGACGGUACCUAAUCAGAAAGCCACGGCUAACUACGUG